UACCUGCCACUGUUCCACCCUUCUCUUUGGUUUAUUACUUAGGUGCUCAUGAUGGCUAACCCGAAUUCCAACAUUUGUGUAGUUCGCCAGUGGCCAAAGCACCUUCACGAUCGUCCCAGGAAGGCUGGGCAGUCAGAUAUUUUCGCUGUUGUCUCGCCUAGCAGUAGAUGGCAGCUCAGAGCUGCCCGUGGCUUCCAGCCAUUGGUGUCUGGUGCCAUCAGGAGCAGGACUCAGGAGGCCUGGCUGGCCACCUCGUGUUCUGAUCAGGGGCUUCUCGGUCUCCCAGCUCGGGGAUCACAAGGCGUCGGGCUAGGGAGUGCUGGUGAUGGCAUCCUAACAGGCGGGACGUUUUCUUUUCUACUGCCCUUGCUCACUAGUGUGUCUGCCCCAUUUCAUUGCAAGAGGUUUGCCUCAAACUAGUCCAAGCCCCUCAUCUCAUAGUCUGGAGAGGAAGCAAGUCCUCUGCAUCUCAGCAUCAGACAGGGGUCCAGGCAGUCCCUGCUGGAGGCAUCAGGUGCCCACGGGUUGCACUAGCUGUGUAGUAAAGGUCCACCCAUGUAGGCCCUUAGUCCCAGCGUGCUUUUUCCUUGAUCUCAGGCACCUCCAGAGUGACCAUUUGUGGAGCGUGUCGCCAAGGGGCCAGCCGGGAGUGCUGUUAACUCGCUGCAUGAGUGGAUUUUGCUCAGAAUGAUUAGCGACUCAUUUCACAAUUUGUGUCCCAACGUCGUACUGGUCACUCUGAACUGGGAGGACUCUGUCCCCUGCUAGACUUGGCACAUAACAGACACUCAACAAACAUUUACUCGAUGCGUGACAGCAGGCACAGUAAAGGGUCCCCGGGAUGGUAAAGGGGCAUCUGAAGGAGCGGGCCUUGGGAGGAAAUGCAGGAGUAACUUCCGAGCAUCCAGCCCUGUGCUUGAACGGAGAGGACGGUGCUGCAGGAGGGCAGCAGCCCACUUCGUCCGGAAGCUCAUCGCACCUCUGGCCCAAGGCACCCUGGUGAUUUCAUGGCGGGGACGCAACUGCAAAGGUCAUUACAAGAUGUGGAAGGCAUCCGGGUGGGUCACCGAGUGCUUCCAGAUACCCUCCCUCAAGCCUUCCACACGUGUGUACACACUCAGAGGAUUUCUAGAAGAUCCUUCUUGGAAGGCUCUUUCCAUUCCCAACAGUCCCACAGUGACUUUCUGGUGCACUGUGGGUGCAAAAGCUCUCGUAAAUGCCCUCUUCCUACUCUUCUUUCUACAAGCUUCGUAUUUCCAGCUUCGGUGAUCUUUCCUCACAGAAGAACCUCAACCAGCUAGCUCUUAGCCAUGCCUGGGACCAGGCUGGAAAUUCCACCCUGCCCUCUGGAAUCCAGGUGUGAAAAAAGAGGAAAGCUAUAGGAAAAGUCCCCUUUGUGUCCUAACACUUACCGGGCAGUCACAUCACUGGGCCGGUUGGGGUCACCUCAGAAAGGCCCCAGGUCUUUGAGAACCUCCUUCCACUGCCUUAAAAGCACCCUCUCAAGGAAUCGGUUUUCCAUCUGACUCAGCAAACUCAAAUGCUCCCUUCUGACGGGACAGGGUCCAAGUGGGGACACAGUGUGGGCUGAGUCCAGGCUUCUAGAGAAUGCUAGCUUGACAAGGCAGGGUGAGAUAAUGGAUUGCUCAAAGCUCCGCCCAGCGCUCUGUAGGCUUCCUCAGCCUCCCGGGUUCCAGCUUCCACCCGCCUGGAUGCUUCUCUCAGCUAGACUCUGAACCACAAGGCAAGUAGCAUUAGCAACAUAAGAUUCUGAACAGGUUUUUAUUUUCACAAUCCCCUACUGUCCAACUAAGGUAUUAAGUUAUAAGUCUGUAUGCUGCCCACGACCACCGUCACCACCACCGUCACCACCGCCACAAAAAGGACUAAAAGGCUUACUGCCACAAUUUGGGUCUGGAGAUCUUUUUAAUCCAUUUUUAGUCCAACAUAAAUGAGAAAGAAAAAAAUACUUCUGACAUUUUCAAAGAGCAGAAAUAGGAAAUUAUGUUCAUAUACAUUCAACAUAUACUGCGCUUAUUGGUUACUACAAUACAAAGCAAUGAUCUUUUACAAGUGUAGUUCGCGGGAUGGCACGGUUAAUAGGCUCACUGGCUUUCACCUGGCUGGCUGCUGGAGGACGGCAGCCUACUCUUCCAUCGGCACAGUCCCAUGUAAACACAACAGGCCGAGCACGUGUGUGAGGGGGCGGCUGGGGGCAUGGGAGCUGGAACGAGCCCAGAGAAGUCCAACGGCGGCUGUUCGGGUCUUCUCGGCAGCCUCCUUCUGGUGAGGAGUCAGUGGCCUCACCAAGCGGAGGGGAGACCGGGGACCGUGCAAACACGGGACAGAUCCCAAGAAAGGCUCUCUCUCGCAGUGCGGAAGUCCACUCGAGGGACAUCGGGUCCAGGAGCUGAGCUGCCGGUAUCAGUGAGACGGACGAGCCGCACGGGAAUCCUGUCAGCAACAUCAGGACGGCCAUGCGGGGCACCCGCUUUCUUCUGUGCAAAUUCAGGGUGAAAGACUGGGAGGGGCCUGGGGACCCUUCAUUCUCCUUUCCCAGGAAAAAGGAUCAAGAGUCAAAACAUUUGACAUGUCUUUCUUGGUUUCAAGAUCAGAUCCUCUGUCAGCCCCCAGCCAGCAGAGAAGACUUUGGUUUCUAACAGUGAGGAAACACAGAGAGAAUGACAGACGGUAGCUACUGCAUAUGCACCGCUCCCCGGGGGAGGGAAGGAGACCACUACACCUGUCACUGGCACAAGUGAGCGCUGUUCACAAUUACAAGGUCUACAGAAAACACUCUGAACAAAAGGUGCAAGUCACAAUUCAAAUAGAACAGAAUCUGGUUAAACAUGUCUCUUUUAAACAAAAAUUCCUUUUGUUUUUACUUAUUAAUAAUAAUAAUAAUAAUAACAAUAAUAUCAACAUUUACCCAAAACAAUUCCUACAUGAUCAAGAAUUAAAAUAGGGGCUGAGGAUGCCCAGGGAGGAGGAGAAGGUUAGGAGAGAGGCGGGGCCGAAGGCAACCUCCUGUUCUUCUUUGUCUGUGUCAGAGGCUGAAGGGGAAAAGCGUGUGUGCGUGUGAAGAAACAAUCCUUGUACAGCACAAUAUAAAGUGAGAAGCAAAGGGGACACAAAAAGCACAGUGAACCACUGUUGGGUGUUCAGUCUGUGGGUGGAACCAGCAGGACGGGAAAGGCAGCCAACUUUCCAGGUUGUCAGAGGGGAGCUGAGUUACGCAGCGAGAAGGCUCACACGGAGGGAGAUGCUCUAACUGGCAUCCCCUCCAGGCCAGGCCGCUCUCGGCCCCCACACUAACGCUCCGAUACGCUCUUGGCCAGGCCAGACAAGCUUUUCAUGGGAUCCGGGCGGUCAAGACCUUCCUAGGUUCCAGACUCGGCGGUUCUUUUUUGUUGGUUUUUGCUCUCUUCCUGUUUUCCAAAGCGCCAGGGGCCAUCACCCCUUCCUCUCUCCCUUUCCCCAGCCACUAAGAAUCCAGAGGAUGUUAUCUGUGAGUAGUUGCUCCUGUGGACAAGCAAUGCAGGGAAAUGGAGAAAUGGAGGUGCUCUGUGGGGGGACGCAGGGCAGGGGAGUGGCUCUGGGUCUCCUGGCCUCUAUAAUUUUACCUGCUUUGUUCUUCUGUCUCAGCAAAGGAAAGGAAAAAAGAAAAAAACAAGAAAAAGAGAGAAACAAAUAAAAAAGAAAGAAAAUCACCUCCAAAAGAAAAUAUAUCAAAAAAAAAAAACAAAAACAAACAAAAAAAACAAACGAAACCAAACCUCCAACUCAAAUAUACCAAAUACACUUUCACAAAAGGUGGCGAACACGAAUAUCCUGUUUAUUUCCUUGGUGACUCGGUCACACGAGCAAACAUGGCAAAACCCCCUCAGAACCCGAAAGAACCGCACACUGAUGAACCAAAGUGAGGAAAGGAGCCGUGACGCUCUAGGUGGACAGAAACACAAGGGCAAUUUGGCGCAAUGCUGCUAGAUACUGUUGGUGUAAAGUCAUUUCAUUCCCGAGCUGUACACAAACCUGCAACAGAGCAGACACACACACAGGAGAGUCAGCUCGGAGCAAGAGGCUCAAACAUUCGUUUGAACGCUUGCGCGAAACGCAACUGGCUCCCUUUACCUCAGGUAUUUUAAGAGGUCUGCCACACUGAGGCUCGAAGGUGGGUUUGCCAGACGGCUUAACCUUCAUCACUGUUUUCUGUCAGAGUUUUCCAAGA